UAUACUAUUCUAAUUGUAGAAAGUGAGACUGCGUAAUAUUAAAAGUCGAAGCGAAUUAAAGAUACUACAUGCACUUGGAAAAAAGAGUUUGGCAAGAAAAGCUUAUGAGAUUGAAGAGGAGACUGGCAAAGAACCAAGUCGAGCAGAAAUGUUCAUUGCAUCACGAACAAGAUCAGAUGGAAAUUUCAUUUGCAAUGAAGCAAGGAUAUCUGCAGAUAAGCUUACACAAGUAAUGAAUCAAAAUAUUAAAAGUGAAGCAUCAAGUAGUGAGUCUGGUCCUAAGGAUGCAUUUGAACAAGUAUUUGGUUCCGAGCAUUCUGGAAGAGUUCGAUGUGUGGGACGUGGUCCAACACCGUCCAAAUACUUUCAGAAUUUGGAAUCGCAGGUAAGAAGUAACUCUGAGAUACUUGAGCUGAAGUCUCGCAUGAAAGGACUUGAAGAUAAACUUGAUAUCGUGGCUAACGCUCUUCAGAUUAUUAUUUCAAACAAUCAAUUUCAAACUAGUACGACAGAGACUAAGAUUGACUAGAAUGAUCAUAAAGUGACGUGAUAUGGAAUUUAGUGAAGAAUGGAGACAAUGAUUUCAUCUAGCCUUUUGAUAGAAGAUGAAGGACAAGAAAAUAUAGAAGAUGAAGGACAAGAAAAUAUAGAAGAGGAUAUAUAAAAGAUAGAUUUUAAUGCAAUGUUAUUUACUUUUACAUUUUUUAUUAUCAUGUACACAAGAACACAAGUAUAUUUGAGACAGAUUAAUUGAUUUUUAUUACUUGA